rnacentral:rRNA from 1 species
GUAGGGUGCGAGCGUUAUCCGGAUUUAUUGGGCGUAAAGGGUUUCGUAGGCGGUUUAGCAAGUAGUGGGUUAAAGCCCCAGGCUCAACCUGGGAAAAGCUCAUUAAACUACUAGACUAGAAAGUUGUCGGGGAAGUUGGAAUUCUGCAUGUAGGGGUGAAAUCCGUUGAUAUGCAGAAGAACACCGAGGGCGAAGGCAGACUUCUAGACAAAUUUUGACGCUAAGGAACGAAAGCUAGGGGAGCAAAUGGGAUUAGAGACCCCAGUAGUCCUAGCCGUAAACGAUGUCUGCUAGUUACUCGAGAUUUAUCUUGGGUGACGCAAGCUAACGCGUUAAGCAGACCGCCUGGGAAGUACGGCCGCAAGGCUA